rnacentral:rRNA from 1 species
UACGUAGGGUGCAAGCGUUGUCCGGAAUUAUUGGGCGUAAAGAGCUCGUAGGCGGCUUGUCGCGUCGGCUGUGAAAACCUGAGGCUCAACCUCGGGCCUGCAGCCGAUACGGGCAAGCUGGAAUUCGGUAGGGGAGACUGGAAUUCCUGGUGUAGCGGUGAAAUGCGCAGAUAUCAGGAGGAACACCGGUGGCGAAGGCGGGUCUCUGGGCCGAUAUUGACGCUGAGGCACGAAAGCGUGGGGAGCAAACAGG